UUGAUCCUGGCUCAGAAUCAACGCUGGCGGCGUGCCUAACACAUGCAAGUCGAACGAGAAAGUGGAGCAAUCCAUGAGUAAAGUGGCGACCGGGUGAGUUACACGUGACCAAUCUACCCUUGAGUGGGGGAUAACCUCGGGAAACCGGGUCUAAUACCGCAUAAUAUCUCUGGAUCGGAAGAACUGGAGAUCAAAGGAGUAAUUCGCUUAAGGAGGAGGUCGCGGCUGAUUAGCUAGUUGGCGGGGUAAUGGCCCACCAAGGCAAAGAUCGGUAGCCGGCCUGAGAGGGCGCAUGGCCAUACUGGAACUGAAACACGGUCCAGACUCCUACGGGAGGCAGCAGUGGGGAUUUUUGCGCAAUGGGGGAAACCCUGACGCAGCAACGCCGCGUGGAGGAUGUAGUCCCUUGGGACGUAAACUCCUUUCGACCCGGACGAUAAUGACGGUACUGGUGGAAGAAGCCCCGGCUAACUUCGUGCCAGCAGCCGCGGUAAUAAGGU
rnacentral:rRNA from 1 species